rnacentral:lncRNA from 1 species
UUUUAGUUGGAUAUACAUAAUUUUGUAAAGUUAAAUAACGUACUUGUGGUUUCUACGUGACAUUAUGAAAAUAAUUUUCUACCCCUCGUGGUAGCUUAUUUUUAAAGAAAAGGUUUUCAUAUGAAAAACGGUUUUAAAGAGGGUCUUUUGGUUUUCAUGAUUUUUAGUAUUUCAAAAUAAGUUUUCGGGUGAAAAAUAUUUUAAACUACUCGAUGUGGAUAUAUGAUUAAAAUAUGGUAAACUUGUGAUUGAAUGAAUAUGAAUUGGUUGAUGUAAUGUGGUGAUUGUAUAUGGAUGUUUAUACACUGUGGUUGUAUCUUAUACUUGAGCGAUGCCAUGCAAAUAAAGGAGAGACUUUGUCCGUGUGAACAGUGGGUUUCCUGUAUUUGUGGUGGAUCUGACAUCCCCUGAGGUUAAGGCUUUCAAAAAAGAAAAAAAAAAAAA